CCGAGUGUAGGGUUCCUAGCGAGCCCAACCUCCCACCCGUGUUUACUGUACCUUAGUUGCUUCGGCGGGCCCGCCGUCAUGGCCGCCGGGGGCGUCAGCCCCGGGCCCGCGCCCGCCGGAGACACCACGAACUCUGUCUGAUCUAGUGAAGUCUGAGUUGAUUGUAUCGCAAUCAGUUA
rnacentral:misc_RNA from 2 species